CAACCUUCUCAUGUGGCGGAAGGAUCUUCUGCGAUAACCUCUUCUCCAGGAGGCAGUGCAUGAUGGAUCUUUCAGCUCUCCAUCCUAUUUUCCCCCCUACCUGAUGCCACUUUAAUGCUCUCGUGGAUGAGAGACUUGGGCAUUCACUAACCCUAACCUGGUAUGGCACCUAGACCCUAAAAAAAAUUACCAGUAGGGAGAAGUUCUAGAAUAUGACAGAGAUCUCUUUCCCCUUUUAGACUCUACUCUCCUGAAGGGCAGGGAGCAACAUACAGAGUGACUGAUUGCAAAGUCUUUAACUGAUCCGAAUGUAUUUUGGGUGUAGGGUCGGCCACCGCUGACGUGCAUGGGUCAGGACCGGUGAAGAGACAUCAGUCUUUCCCGGGAGAUGGACAUUUUCUUAUCCGUAGGGCCAGAGGAUGCCCAGAGAGUCACUGGCAGCUGAGACCAGAGGGAGGGUGCCCAAAGAACGGAUUGGGUCACGUCCAACCAACGGCCGGCCGUUGCCCCGGACGCAGACCAGGCGGAGUCACCGUGACCCCGGGGACCUUCAGGGUCGAGGGUGGAUCUCCCAUCACCUCUGAAAUCUCCCGCGUCUCUGGCCUCUCUCACGGCUUAAUAUGACUAAACCGGGACUGUUCAUUUUUCCACCUCAACGGCGUAUCUGUCCGUAAUACGUUGCUGUAUGAUAAUGCCUAUCUCCCCCUCUAGCUCACAGAGUGGGGAAGAACUGUGGUAGUUGAUGGCUAUACUGUACUCUCCCAAAGGCUGUGUACAGUGUAAGAGUUGUAUAAAAAUGGCAGAUUGGCCGCGAGAGCCCCCGCGAUGUCUGAGGAGUCUGCCAGAAUGGUGGAGAGAUUCCAGGGCAGAUGUUGUUUUCUCUCACCCCCACUCCCCAUCCCCAGAGGAGCCUCUGGAUGGUCAUGGGGAAUGUCUCUCUGGGCGCUGGGUCCCAGAGGGAACUAUGGACUAGAAUCCCAGUCUGGAGCCACCAGGGAGGACAGCUCCUCUUCUCUCUCCGACCCGGCAGCGAGCGGCUUGGGUGCGGAUGA